UUAACUCAAAUUUGUAUGGAGUUGAAACAGCGCCCCUAGCGGCAAACAUAAUUAAACGUUCCAACUCCAUACAAAUUUGAGUUG
rnacentral:pre_miRNA from 1 species